rnacentral:rRNA from 1 species
AGGGUUCGAUUAUGGCUCAGGAUGAACGCUGGCGGCGUGCUUAACACAUGCAAGUCGAACGAACCUUCGGGUUAGUGGCGGACGGGUGAGUAACGCGUGAGAAUCUGCCCUCAGGAGGGGGAUAACGGUUGGAAACGACCGCUAAUACCCCAUAUGCCUAUUGGUGAAAUGAAUUUCGCCUGAGGAUGAGCUCGCGUCUGAUUAGCUAGUUGGUGAGGUAAUGGCUCACCAAGGCUUCGAUCAGUAGCUGGUCUGAGAGGAUGAUCAGCCACACUGGGACUGAGACACGGCCCAGACUCCUACGGGAGGCAGCAGUGGGGAAUUUUCCGCAAUGGGCGAAAGCCUGACGGAGCAACGCCGCGUGAGGGACGAAGGCCUCUGGGCUGUAAACCUCUUUUCUCAAGGAAGAAGAUAUGACGGUACUUGAGGAAUAAGCCACGGCUAAUUCCGUGCCAGCCGCCGCGGUAAUAC